CCUGCCACCAGUACCGUCAUCGUCAUCUUUUCAGAGAUGAAGACCGUGCGUGGACAAGACCUCUUGAAUGUCUCUGCAUGAAUCGCAUCAUGGACAAUCUGUGAAGGAAGCCCGUUCUUCGCGAUAUAGAAAGCCAUGGCCUUUUAGCACUGGCGGAAAGCCCCCCUCUAGAAAUUUCUCUGAGCAGCAUCACAAAAAUAUCCUCCGACAAGAUAAAUAGUUCAGGGCCUUACAGUGAAGAAUUCGGACAAGCGUCGUGGCUUAAAAUUUUGGGACGUUAAUGCUCGGAUCCAACACAUUGCUCGAACUAGCAGCUUUAAAGCAUCAAACAUUGACAUUUUCCAGACUGCCGACUUUAAUGGACCUUGCUUUCGGGCUUGUCGAACUGUAACAUCUGCUCUGGAGAAGAAGAACAAGAAAAGGACUCAAGGAGGCUGAAAGCGCAAGCAUCUCGUCUUCUUACCCAGCUAAAAGAAUCGGCUCCAGAUUCAAGAGUGCUGAAUCCAGACAGCUGUAUGCAACUGACGGCCGGCGUCACAUUGAUACGAAGUCUAUUCCCAAUCCGACCAGGUACGGAAGACUUCUCAGCGAAAUAAUGCGUGGUCUGUACGAGGCCGGUCAAAUGAGCUAAAAGCUUGGUGGUAAAAGCAUGCUAAACUCGUUUGGCGAUGGACGGACCACGCCGCAUGUCAACGACGAACUUUGUUCCUUCCCAUGAACGUGUUCUUCGCUCAGCUAUCGUCACAGUAAGAGGUCGAGCACUCUCGGAAAAAAGUCUACUUUUCUCGGAACACUACUGCUUUCUACGGAUUGAAGAGCUUGUUUCCGCAUUGGCACCUCCAUCCUUUGGGCUUGUAAUUGGAGUAAAGAGCAG